rnacentral:lncRNA from 1 species
GCUUCCUAUCUACAUCUGCUGCUUCUAUCCUUCUGCAAAGUUUAAUUCCUCCCCCAAGGACUCUGGAAAGCGUUUUUUUGAGACUCUAGCAUCCUAUUCUGGUAUCCCACAUGCAGCCUCUGUUAUGCCCACUGCCCCAUCCACAGUGGUGGGUGACCCUCAAGGUACUGCAACCUCCGCUUCAGGAUCUUUUCCGUACCUGGAUCAAGAGUGGAUGAGAGGAUGAAGGCACUACGGCACCGUGAGUCCAG